UCAGUGUUGGCGACCCGUUUCUCGGACUAGCGACCCACCAAGGAGACCAGAUGGUAUCUCCUCCGUCCGGCCACUUCUCGGUGGCGCACCACCUACAUUAGGACCGCCUCGAUGUCGCGACCAAACCUGUGGCCUGGGUUUCCACCGACGGGCUCCGACGAAGUCAAUUCGAAGCCGUCUUUGGUUCCGAAGGUUUUCUUGUGUUUUCCGGCGACUCCGGUCGCCGAUGAUGACAUGCAAGGUAAGGAAGUUAGUCUUCUCGUUGAGCUCUACGUUCUGGUAUAACUAUUUUUCGAUUUCGAUUGAGUUUUGAGAAUUGAUGUUUCGGGAUUCGUCGACCUUUUACCGAGGUACUGGUCACGGCGGCUUUUCUGCACUUGCCGGCUUUUUCGAUCAUUGUUGGUGGUAAACUAGUUAGAGACUAGUGGAGUUGUGUCAUAAUUGGAACGAGGAUGAAUUGGAAUUUGGUUUGUUCCGGCUGUUCUGCAUGGAGGUAUUAUGCCAUUAUGGUGAAGAAUAAAGAUGAAGGAGCGAAUGAGCUGAUCGAGUAAAGGGCAUUGCAGUGGCUCUGUACCGUGUUGAGUUUGAGAAGCUUGGUUCAUGAAUGAUUCCUAUGAACUAUGAUCAAAGGACUCCAGUUACCCGGAAUGCGAGUUUACUCGGAAAACAAGCUAUGGUGGUGUUGGCCUAGAAAAGAAAAUGAAGUCAAAGUUGCAAUAUAUUCCAGGUAGGGGAUUAUGGACUCGCCUCAGUAAUUUUUAUGCAUAUAUAUUAAGGAAAUUAAUGAUGCAUGAAAAAGAAUUUGGUUUUUAUUUCAUUUUCUAUGAGUUAUUAUUUGAUGACUUGAGAGUGAGAGGAGCAUAGCGACUUCCUUGGGCUUCGAUCCCCUAAACCUCCGGAGGGGCUGUAUGGACUGAAGAGUGUCUGACAUCCGUUGAGGUGUGGCACUGCUUCUAGGUGAUACGGCGUAAGUGGACACUCUUGCUACACCUUACCGGUGUAAACGAUAUUAAUCAUGGUAAGGUUGUAGGCAUAGCGAUCGGUCAUCAGGUCUGUUUCAUUCCUUUGGGCCCUACUAUAUUUUUAUAAACGAACUACGGUUUGUGGUUUCGAACAUUUUUAUCAUAUGCAUCGUUUUUCACUUACUUUGCCGGCACCUAUAUUUUAAAUUAUUUUCGCACCUAGCUAGGGUAGAGUCUUAUUGAGCAACGAGGACGAAAGCUCACCCCUACAAUAGUUUGUGGAUGCAGGUACUGUGUACGAAGACGGGACAGUUGGACAAUGCUAAAUGUGGCUUAAUUACCCUGUACUUCAAUUGUGUCAUCGACGGAGUUAGAUCCGUGUGACAGGUCUUAUUUCCUCUAUUCUCGCAAAACUUGUUUAUCGAGUUUAUGAUUGUUUGUAAAAUACUUCUUUUGUAUAUUUCUCGGACUUUGGCAGUGGACUGGACAAACAUUCGAUAAUUGUUUUGAAAUGACUUGUAUUUGUUUUCUUUAAAGGAUUUUAGAU